GCCGCGGUGGCGAAAUUGGCAGACGCACACGACUCAAAAUCGUGCGGAGAAAUCCAUGAGGGUUCAAGUCCCUCCCGCGGCACCA
rnacentral:tRNA from 1 species